AUGUGCUUCAACCGGCAUAACACAGGGCUACAACCGGCAAGAGUUUUUGCUGGGACCGGCGAAGUUUUUUUUGUUGCAUCGAAGAACGGCGGAAGCUGCUGCCAUGAAAAAAGCUGGAACUGGCUACAGGAAAAGUUACAACCAGCAAACAAAAAAGCUUCAACCAUUGUCAUGGUGACCACGAGCUACAUCGACAGUGACCACAAGCUGCACAUUUGCUGGAAGCGGCAUCAUGGGGUGCUGCAACCGGUGGUGGCAGAAGCGUCCACUGGCCAUGUGAAAGCUGCAACUACAACCAGAGGGAAAGCACGACCAGUGAUCGGAAUUGCUACAACCGGUGACCGGGGUGGGCGAGAAGAAGAUGCUACAAUAUUUGUUUUGCUGGAAGCGGUGAUGAGAAAAACUUCAAGCGGCAACGAGAAAAGUUUCAACCAUAGACUACAGAAGGACGGUGACGAGCCAUGGAGUGCGUUGGACGACCGCAGCGACGUGCGCCGCGAGCUUGAUGGAGGGUGCUGCGACCGGGGCGGCGUGGAGCAACGAGCUCGCCCGACGGCAUAG
rnacentral:rRNA from 1 species